AGGACUCAGAUAUCACAUAAUAUAGAUUUAUGAAUGUUUGAAACCAAUGAACUAUUUCCACCAAUUGUUACUUCGAGAGUUGAAUAAUAAGACCGACAAUGCUGGUGCAGAUACCCAUUGCGACGGCUGCUACGUGAGGUCGAGGGACAUAGGGGAGUAGUAGCUUUUUUAGGGACUGAGAUCUAGAACAUGAGAUGUGGUAGUUAUUUCCUUUUUUAGGACGUGAGAUCUAGUAGUUUUUUUUUUGUACGUGAGAUGUAGUAGCUUUUUUGUUUUUUGUUUUGUUUUGAUGGACUUAGAUCAAGAACAUGAGAUGUGGUAGUUUUUUCCGUUUUAGGAUGUGAGAUCUAGUAGUUUUUCAAAAAGAAAUUGGAGAUAGAUAUAAGAUGCGUACAUUUUUAGUUUUUCUUAAAGGACUUGGAGAUAGAUAUAAGAUGUGUACAUAGGAUAAAUCGGAUCCACCAGGUUUACAUGUAGUUACGUGAGAUCUUGUAGUUUUUUUAAUUUAUAUUAUUUAAAGGGAUAUGUAGAAAUACACAAGGUGUGUAUGUACGUUUUUUUUAACAGCACGUAGAUGCUAAGGUUUAUUUAAAGGGACAUGUCGAAAGACAUAAGGUGUGUCGAUGCAAAAAAGAAGAAGACAUAAGGUGUGUAUUUCUUUACAUACAUUUUUUUGAACAGCACGUAGAUGCUAAGGUUUUUUUAAAGGGACGUGUAGAAAGACAUAAGGUGUGUACGUUUUUUCAACAACACGUACAGGCUAAGGAUAUCUGUAGUUUUUUUUAGAUGGAGCGCUCAUUUUUUUCUGAAUAGCACGUACAUGCUAAGGUUAAUUUAAAUGGACAUGUAGAAAGAUAUAAGGCGUGUACCCUUUUUUACACGUACAGGCUAAUGAUAGCUGUUUUUUUUAGAUGCAUGGAGCGCCCUUAGAUCUAAUCCAUUCAUUACAUCUUUUAUGUUAUUGGUCCACCAAAUCGUUAGAUUGCAUUCUACAUAUAAAAUUUAAAAAUGGCCAGAUGCUCUCACUAUUGGUUGCAGUAUUAAAAAAGCUUGAGGACUCAGAUAUCACAUAAUAUAGAUUUGUGAAUGUUUGAAACCAAUGAACUAUUUCCACCAAUUCUUACUUCGAGAGUUGUAUAAUAAGACCGACAGUGCUGGUGCAGAUGCCCAUUGCAACGGCUGCUACGUGAGGUCGAGGACAUAGGGGAGUAGUAGCUUUUUUUUUAGGGACUGAGAUCUAGAGCAUGAGAUGUGGUAGUUAUUUCCUUUUUUAGGACGUGAGAUCUAGUAGUAUUUUUUUUGUACGUGAGAUGUAGUAGCUUUUUUGUUUUUUGUUUUGUUUUGAUGGACUUAGAUCAAGAACAUGAGAUGUGGUAGUUUUUUACUUUUUUAGAACGUGAGAUCUAGUAGUUUUUUUAAAAGGACUUGGAGAUAGAUAUAAGAUGUGUACAUUUUUAGUUUUUCUUAAAGGACUUGAAGAUAGAUAUAAGAUAGGAAAACGUUUGGAGACGGUGCGCCGGCCGAAGCUUCGGCCGGUCGUGCCGCGUAGCUCACUUUAGUUUUCCUCUCCACGUGACUAGGUGAGCAUCUGGGAUCACCCACCGCCUACCUCUCCAUGUGCUGGAACCAAGAUAAUUUUUUGCUUCAUCGGUUGCAGAGCUCUCAAAUGCUCAUGUCGUUUUUGUUGGCACCUAAGUUUGUUUUUGCUAUAAGCAUUUUUUGAUUUUGCUUCAACCGACCACCGGACUUCGACUUGGGGUGAAGUUUUUUGCUGGAAGAUUUUUGUUGCUUCCAGAUUUUUUGCUGCUUGGCACUCGAACCCGGCGAGCUGGAGACGCAGAGAUGAUGCAGCCAGCCACCCUAACUGCUAGCACAUGCAUCAUCAGAAGUUUGGAUCCAGCAAAUUAUUUUGCUACCACCAUAAUUUUUUACUGGAUACAACUUCAAAUUUUGCUUCCACCAUGUUCUGUUUUAGCUGGAUCCAGCUUUUCUUUUUUGCUUCCACCAUGACGGUGGCCGGCGGAAACAACUGCGGCCGGCGGUGACGACGACGACCGGCGGGGAGGGCGGCUACAGGCGAGCGCACCGGGGCGGUACUUUCAGGCUGGGCGCAUCGCUCAUCCAUGGCAGCGCGUUGGAAGUUUUUUUUAAGGAAGAAGACGCCUGGUGAAAGAAAAGGAGAGAAUCGUACGGCUAUGGGUUGUUUAAUCGGACGCUGCUGGUACGACCGGCCCAAAGUUGGGCCGGCGCACCGGCGCCUAGUAGUGGCCUAUAAGAUAUGUACAUAGGAUAAAUCGGAUCCACCGGGUUUACAUGUAGUUAUGUGAGAUCUUCUAGUUUUUGUUUUAUUUAAAGGGACGUGUAGAAAGAUAUGAGGUGUGUACGUUUUUUUCAACAACACGUACAGGCUAAGGAUAGCUGUAGUUUUUUUAGAUGGAGCGCUUUUUUUUUGAAUAGCACGUACAUGCUAAGGUUAAUUUAAAUGGACAUGUAGAAAGAUAUAGGGCGUGUACCCUUUUUUACACGUACAGGCUAAUGAUAGUUGUUGUUUUUUUAGAUGGAGCACCCUUAGAUCUAAUCCAUUCAUUACGUCUUUUAAGUUAUGGGUCCACCAAAUCAACGAGAUCAGAUCUUUCUAAUUAUUGUGGUAAUUUCUAGUUUAUUUUUUUUUUGAUUAACCCGUCAAGCACUUUUAUUUAAAGGGACAUGUAGAAAGAUAUAAGGUGUGUACGUUUUUUUCAACAACAUGUACAGGCUAAGGAUAGCUGUAGUUUUUUUUAGAUGGGUAGAAAGAUAUAAGGCGUGUACCCUUUUUUACACGUACAGGCUAAUGAUAGCUGUUGUUUUUUUUAGAUGGAGCGCCCUUAGAUCUAAUCCAUUCAUUACGUCUUUUAAGUUAUGGGUCCACCAAAUCAACGAUCAGAUCUUUCUAAUUAUUGUGGUAAUUUCUAGUUUAUUUAUCUUUUUUCUGAUUAACCCGUCAAGCACUUUUUAUAUAUAAUAGAUAGAUAGAUAGAUGUUGGAGGGUAUAUAUAAGUGGGUGCAAUGCGUCUAUGUUUAUAAAAACCACUCCCUAGUUACAAUUUUGGUCAAAGUUUGACCUGUAAUACAUGGGAGGCUAAUAAAUUCAGACGGAGGAAGUAGUUGCUAGAAACUGGUCAGGAUUUGGAGCAUUUACGGAACAUAUCACAGGAGAUAUAUAGUCGCCAGUUAAUUUAGGGAGAACAUUUGUGUACAGAUAAGUGGUCAUUUAUUGUAUUAAUUGUAAUGGGAUUGUUUGGUCUGGCAUUAAAAUUAUCUAAAUAUUUGCCGAUUGCAAUAGAUAGCGCGCAAUUAUUAUUACGAGAAGGCAAGUUUUCAAUCCUUUAUAACCCAACCACACACACAUUAGCAGGAACAAACUACCCAGAUCGAGAAAUACUGAUCCCUCUCGUUAAGUUGGCUACCUUGUGAGCAACGAGAUUCCAUUUAUCUCUACCAAUCUUCGAAAGCCUGCCGGCCAGGAUUUUGCUUUGGGAUCUCUUCUACCGUUGGUCGUCAUUCCACUGCGCUCUUGAACUCCAAGGUCCGUUAUUCAAUCCAUAGCUGGUACUAGCAGUAGACAGUAGAGACUAGUAGUAGUAGUACAAAGGUAGAUGCCUGCAUGGUUCGUAUAGAUUUGUUGUUUUUAUGUGAGAAGUAGUAUAAGUACAGUUUAUAAGGACAUUCAUGGAGUUUUCCACCAAAAUAAAAAGAUGCAUGGAGUUUUACCAAUGGAAAAAUUGUACGAAUGGCCAUUCAGUUGGAAUUGGUCUUCUUGCGGUGCCAUUUUGUUUGUAAUAAUUAAUUCAGAGGAGCGUCAUAGCAGACCAGAGGAACAACGUUCGUUUCCACUGAUGUUAGGAGUCAAAACAUUCGGGUGGAGCUCUUUUUUGUGUGAAAGCCAGAGGAAAAGAGCGAUAAUGCUACCCUGUGAUGCAACUCUUGUUUGCCGCGGGAAGGCACUUGUAUUGCACAUGGACUUCGCAACUGCAGACUCGACCUGCAUCUUCGCGGUUACUAACUAUAGUUUCAUCAAGGAAACAGGUCUGGGCAAUUUUCAAAGGUCCCAUGCCUUCCAAGUUGGUGGGUAUGACUGGUCAGUUAGAUUCUACCCACAAGGAAUCAAUGCUGAAAGCCAAAAGCACAUCUCUAUUGUUGGUGAGCUUAUGAGCGAAAAUGCAGAAGUCAGUGCAAUAUUUUGUUAUCGAUUGAUCUCCCCAGGAGGACAAUGCACAGAGUGGACUCAAACCGGAGUGUUAAACUUAUCUAGUGCAGAAGGAAAAUAUAGGAUGGGAGGGUGGGAGGGUGGGAGAAGGUCAUGGGGAAAACUUUGCUUGAAGCAGAAUAUGUGGAAUUUGACCGCUUCUUGAUUGAAUUUUCCAUCACUGUUAUGAAAGAUCCACUGGUGACUUGCAGUGACUUAUUAUCACCCCAAGUGAAGCUGCCACCACCAGAACUGUCAAAUGAUUUUGCAGAUCUUCUAGAGUCAAAAGAAGGGGCGGACGUGACCUUCUGCGUCCAAGGUGAAACAUUUCCUGCACAUAGGGUAGUGCUCGCGGCAAGGUCACCGGUGUUUAGGGUGCAGCUCUGUGGACCAAUGAUGGAGAAAGACGGGUCAUAUGUAAUCGUGGAAGAUAUGUUACCUGACGUUUUUAGGGCUCUCAUACAUUUUGUGUACACAGACUGCUUGGUGCUUCCUUUCGACGGUUUUGAUGACGAGGACAGAAAAGAGAUUGUACGCCACUUACUCGAGGCUGCCGAUCGCUACGCAAUUGAAAAGUUGAAGCUCAUAUGUGAGGCCACUCUUUGCAGCUGUCUUGAUGUACAAACAGUGGCAACUACAUAUGCGCUAGCUGAUCAACAUCAGUGUAAUGAUCUCAAACAGGCUUGCCUCAAAUUUAUGGCAUCUCCAACAAUACUUGGUGAAGUGAUGGCGAGCCAAGACUAUGAAAACCUCAAGAGAAAGAGUUCUAGUACAGCAUUGGAGAUUUUAGAGAGCGUUUGUAAGUUCCCAAAGAUCUAGUAUGUGGGGUCUAGCUCAUCGUAGUGUGGCGACUGAUACAUCACACCUUUCCAUUAUUUUUCUACUGGUUUUCUUAGUCAUAUGUUAUGUUCAUCAUUUCUGUCGAAUUUGACUUACUCUAUUCCAAGAAAUAAUGUAUCAAUUCGUGUUA